rnacentral:rRNA from 1 species
CCCUUUGUUGUCCGACUCUGUUGCCUCGGGGGCGACCCUCCCUUCGGGCGGGGGCUCCGGGUGGACACUUCAAACUCUUGCGUAACUUUGCAGUCUGAGUAAACUUAAUUAAUAAAUUAAAACUUUUAACAACGGAUCUCUUGGUUCUGGCAUCGAUGAAGAACGCAGCGAAAUGCGAUAAGUAAUGUGAAUUGCAGAAUUCAGUGAAUCAUCGAAUCUUUGAACGCACAUUGCGCCCCCUGGUAUUCCGGGGGGCAUGCCUGUUCGAGCGUCAUUUCACCACUCAAGCCUCGCUUGGUAUUGGGCAACGCGGUCCGCCGCGUGCCUCAAAUCGACCGGCUGGGUCUUCUGUCCCCUAAGCGUUGUGGAAACUAUUCGCUAAAGGGUGUUCGGGAGGCUACGCCGUAAAACAACCCCAUUUCUAAGG